UACGGAAGGCAGCAGUGGGGAAUAUUGCACAAUGGGCGCAAGCCUGAUGCAGCCAUGCCGCGUGUAUGAAAAAGGCCUUCGGGUUGUAAAGUACUUUCAGUCGUGAGGAAGGUGUUAAGGUUAAUAACCUUAGCAAUUGACGUUAGCGACAGAAGAAGCACCGGCUAACUCCGUGCCAGCAGCCGCGGUAAUACGGAGGGUGCGAGCGUUAAUCGGAAUUACUGGGCGUAAAGGGCACGCAGGCGGUUAAUUAAGUUGGAUGUGAAAUCCCCGGGCUUAACCUGGGAAUGGCAUUCAAGACUGGUUAGCUAGAGUCUUGUAGAGGGGGUAGAAUUCCAUGUGUAGCGGUGAAAUGCGUAGAGAUGUGGAGGAAUACCGGUGGCGAAGGCGGCCCCUGGACAAAGACUGACGCUCAUGUGCGAAAGCGUGGGGAGCAAACAGAAUUAGAUACC
rnacentral:rRNA from 1 species